AGCAGUAAAUGUGGAGCCGUAGCGAAAGCGAGUCUGAAUAGGGCGUUUAGUAUUUGGUCGUAGACCCGAAACCAGGUGAUCUACCCUUGGUCAGGUUGAAGUUCAGGUAACACUGAAUGGAGGACCGAACCGACUUACGUUGAAAAGUGAGCGGAUGAACUGAGGGUAGCGGAGAAAUUCCAAUCGAACCUGGAGAUAGCUGGUUCUCUCCGAAAUAGCUUUAGGGCUAGCCUCAAGUGAUGAUUAUUGGAGGUAGAGCACUGUUUGGACGAGGGGCCCCUCUCGGGUUACCGAAUUCAGACAAACUCCGAAUGCCAAUUAAUUUAACUUGGGAGUCAGAACAUGGGUGAUAAGGUCCGUGUUCGAAAGGGAAACAGCCCAGACCACCAGCUAAGGUCCCAAAA
rnacentral:rRNA from 1 species